rnacentral:lncRNA from 1 species
CCCUAACCAAAUAUAUACUAGUUCAGUGAUAAUGAACGCCAUACUAAUUUCCAAAUUGUACACAAGAAACUUAAAUUAAAAUAAUACAAGACUAACAAAGGCCAGAGGCUCCUGACUUGGGACAGGCGCAAAAAUGCGGCGGGGUUAAACAUGUUUGUGAGAUCUCAACCCUCCCCCUAUACCUCUAGCCAAUGUAGAAAAGUAAACGCAUAACAAUACGCAUAUUAAAAUUCAGUCCAAGAGAAGUCCGAGUCUGAUGUCAGAAGAUGUAACCAAAGAUAAUAAACAAAAUGACAAAAAUACAUAAAUAACAACAGACUACUAGCAGUUAACUGACAUGCCAGCUCCAGACUUCAAUUAAACUGACUGAAAGAUUAUGAUUUCAUCAUAUGAACAUCAGGCACAAUCCUUCCCGUUAGGGGUUUAGUUUCAUAUCAUCAUAACAUGUAUGAGAAGAACAUAACCCGUGUCAUGCCAAC